UACAGAGGUCUCAAGCGUUGUUCGGAAUCACUGGGCGUAAAGGGUGCGUAGGCCGCACGGUAAGUCAGAGGUGAAAUCCCGGAGCUCAACUUCGGAAUUGCCUCCGAUACUGCCGUGCUUGAGGACUGGAGAGGAGUCUGGAAUUCACAGUGGAGCAGUGAAAUGCGUGGAUAUUGUGAGGAACACUAGUGGCGAAGGCGAGACUCUGGACAGUUCCUGACGCUGAGGCACGAAGGCCAGGGGAGCAAACGGG
rnacentral:rRNA from 1 species